rnacentral:rRNA from 1 species
GACGGACGCUGGCGGCGUGCUUAACACAUGCAAGUCGAACGGAAAGGCCCCUUUGGGGGUACUCGAGUGGCGAACGGGUGAGUAACACGUGAGUAACCUGCCCUUGACUUCGGGAUAACUUCAGGAAACUGGGGCUAAUACCGGAUAGGAAUCCUUGCUGCAUGGUGGGGGUUGGAAAGCUUCGGCGGUUUUGGAUGGACUCGCGGCUUAUCAGCUUGUUGGUGGGGUAGUGGCUUACCAAGGCUUUGACGGGUAGCCGGCCUGAGAGGGCGACCGGCCACAUUGGGACUGAGAUACGGCCCAGACUCCUACGGGAGGCAGCAGUGGGGAAUAUUGCACAAUGGGCGGAAGCCUGAUGCAGCAACGCCGCGUGCGGGAUGACGGCCUUCGGGUUGUAAACCGCUUUCAGCAGGGGCGAAGCUUGUGGUGACGGUACCUGCAGAAGAAGCACCGGCUAACUACGUG